AACUUCACUACACUUCUUAACCAGUACUUUUUCAACAAGGUCUAUAGAUUAGGUUAACUCAGUCGUAGAAUGUUAUGUUUUUAAGUCAAUAAAGAAACAAAAGGAAAUUUUUGGCUGAUGUUUUCUUUUCGAAUAAAUAGUUAAAAAAGCAAAAGAAUAUUUUUUUAUGUCAUUUAAGGAGUCGUGUGAAAGUUGGCAACACUGUUUUCCUUUUAGGUUAAUCUAGAAUUUGUAUAUCGAGAGGUGCGAGUGUGAGGUAUAAUUCCUUAUAUUGCGAGUAGAUUUAUAUUUGUUUAUUUUUGGUUUACUUAACACUUAAGGAAUUUUCACAUAGCGUGUUAACAGAUUUUUUGUAAUAAUGCUUGAUCUAAGGCCAAACAAUACAAUAUACAUCAAUAAUCUGAAUGAAAAAAUUAAAAAA